GACUGGGGUCUGUGGAUGUGGCUCAUCCCCGCAGCCCAGCACCCAGCACCCAGCCCUGCGGGUCUGCCUCAUCGCCCGUGCUCAUUGCCCUUCCGUUCCCAUGCCCCGUGGAAACAUUUUUGUUCUCUAACGAAUACCCUAUCAGAUGUACAUGUCGAGAGUUACAAAUGUGUCACUAGAAGUUCAUGACUUUUGAACCAGUUUCCUCAUUUUAAGUGGAAGGAAACCGAAGUCCCCAAAGCUGAAGUGAUUGUUCGCAGCAGGCCCGUUGUAGCGAUAAAACUGGGACCAGA